rnacentral:rRNA from 1 species
UGGGGAAUAUUGGGCAAUGGGCGCAAGCCUGACCCAGCCACGCCGCGUGAGUGAUGAAGGCCUUCGGGUCGUAAAGCUCUGUGGGGAGGGACGAAACAGUUGCUGGCUAAUAUCCAGCGACCCUGACGGUACCUCCUUAGCAAGCACCGGCUAACUCCGUGCCAGCAGCCGCGGUAAUACGGAGGGUGCAAACGUUGCUCGGAAUUAUUGGGCGUAAAGCGCACGUAGGCGGCCAGACAAGUCGGGUGUGAAAUCCCUCGGCUUAACCGAGGAAGUGCAUUCGAAACUAUCUGGCUUGAAUACUGAAGAGGGUCUCGGAAUUCCCGGUGUAGAGGUGAAAUUCGUAGAUAUCGGGAGGAACACCAGUGGCGAAGGCGGAGACCUGGGCAGAUAUUGACGCUGAGGUGCGAAAGCGUGGGGAGCAAACAG